CACCAUCAUCAUCACCAUCAUCAUCAUCAUCAUCACCAUCAUCAUCAUAAUCACCACCAUCAUCAUCACUAU